GGUAUUGUAGCUCAUUGGUAGAGCACUUGCCUUGCACACGUGAGGCCCUGGGUUCAAUCCUCAGCACCA
rnacentral:tRNA from 1 species